rnacentral:lncRNA from 1 species
AUGGCUCUAGGAGCUGGGGGUAAAUGUCGGCAAGUCCCUGUGUUGCGGCGGCUCACUAGACCGCCGGCAUGGUCGCCCUCUCGCUCCGUUCAUUCUGACAUUGCAGGCCAAGGGGUCUGACCUGCGUGUUCACUUCAAGAACACGCGGGAGACCGCCUUCGCCCUGCGCAAGAUGUCCCUGAACAAGGCCAAGAAGUACCUGGAGGAUGUGAUUGCGCACAAGCGCUGCAUUGCCUUCCGCCGGUACCAGGGCGCUGUGGGCCGCACCACGCAGGCUAAGAACGAGAACAACCCUUCCGGCCAGGGCCGCUGGCCCGUGAAGUCGGCUGAGUUCAUUCUCAACCUGCUGAAGAACGCGGAGAGCAACGCUGAGGUAAAUAAGCUGCUUGUGUUACGUAUUUGUGUUUGUCCGGCGGUAUGGGGACGGAUCUGGGGCUCGGAAGCAGACUCGGCUUCGGAGCUGCGGCGGCGCUCGGCGUUGCUAGCGGAGCCCAGCGGACCGGCGAGCAGCUUCGGCGAGCAGCAGCGGCCGGCGGGUGGCGCGUUCGUGGAGCGGCUCGGAGCGCGGGACUUGCUGCCGGCCGCGGGGGAAGCAGCUGCUUGCGGCGUCGGGGGAGGGGGAGGGGGGAAUGGGGGGUCGAGGCAGGGAGCACACCGGCCUGCACGGUCGCCGGGCGGCCGGCGCCCACCCCCUGCACCAGCAGCACACAGAAACCAGCCACAGCAGCUGUCCAGCAGCCGUACGGCCCACGGCAAUGCACCAGCAUGGGCGAUGGCGCCCGGCCCUGGCCGAGGCGGCGGUCAGGGACUGGCCGCGGCGCUCGGGGUGCGGCAGGGUUGCUCCAGCGGGGCGGCGGCCGCAAGCCACCGCCGGCCGUAAUUGUGGGGCACAGUAACAGUAUGGCUUUUGGGCACCGAGUACGCGUGCUGGUUGCACGGUGGCAUGCUAUUCCGCGCCGGCCGUUAUAGAACCUAGCGGUAACAGCAGCGCCGCAGCCGCGAUGGCGGCGGCGACGGCCGCGGCUGCGCGGGUGGGCGUCAGCGGCGUUACACCAAAGCCCAAUGCAAACUGGCGGCAGUUUGGCCAGCAGUGUGACAGCAAUGGCGAGGCGGCGCAGCGGGUGGCAGCAGCAGCACCACCUGCGCGGCGGCAUGCUUAAUACCGGAGCUGUCAGCAUGACGAGAUGCUGUGUGCGGCACGGCGUGGCGGCAGCUAGCGGCGGCAGCGUCUGAUGCCCUCAGUCUGUGCCUGGUGCCGCCGGCCGCAGUGAAGCCGCCUGCGCCGCCGCUGGCAGAAGUGCUGGUGCAUAGGCCUGGCGUUGCUGCUGGUGUGAUGACAGCUGCGGUGGUUUCGUGGCUGCAUGCAUCCAUAGGGGUAGCGGCGCCGGCGCUCGGCAUAUGUCAUCCGCACGGCAUACCGGCAGUUAGGGCUGGUCCGUCUGGAUCCCCUGCCGUAGCAGCAGCAGCAGAAGGCCGCGGCCACAGCAGCAGCAGCAGGGCAGGGUGGGAGAGGGCUAGCCGUGUGUUGCAUGCGUGUACGUCGCCGUGCAGUGACGCGGCCUGCGCAGCGUCCAUGCAUCCCCCACGCUCCCCCACCCCUCGCCCAAGCUGAACCCAACCUCCAACUUCCGAUGCACCCUCUUCCUCCGUGACCUCGCAGGUCAAGGGCCUGGACAUCGACAACUGCUUCAUCAGCCACAUCCAGGUCAACCGCGCCAUGCGCCAGCGCCGCCGCACCUACCGCGCGCACGGUCGUGUGAACCCCUACAUGAGCUCGCCCUGCCACAUCGAGCUCAUGAUCUCGGAGAAGAGCGCGGGCGUCAAGGCCGAGAAGGUGAGAGGGCAAGAAAGAGGAGCUGGGAGGGAGCGAGUGCGAGCGGGAGGGAGGGAGGGAGGGAGCGAAGGAGAGAGGAGGAGGAGGGACGCAGGGAAGGCAGGAGAGGGGGCUGGGGUGGUGCGGGAAUGGGAAGCGGCGUGGAAUGGGCCAAUGGUGAUGUUUGGGGGGGGGAGGACGCUAGAUUGGGAACGGUGCAUGUAGGAAAGCCUGCUGAGCUCGAGCUCCCAGGUAGAGGACAGACAAGAUAGGAUGCGGCUGGGGGGGGGUCAGAGUCAAGGGUUUUGCGGAUGGCAAGCAAUACACGCAAGUGGCGAACACCGCAGCUUUCCUAGCAAGGGGUGGCGCCGCUGACAGCGGCUACAGCAGCGCAAUCUGGCGAACGGCGAUUGUAGAAGCAGCAGCAACAGCAGCGCUGGUGUCAUUACGCAGACGGCGCAGCACCGAACGGCUCGCCGUCAGCGGCGGCAGGCGCUGCACGCAGGCAUGAGCAGCGGCGUUUGCGGCACUACCCGUGCAGUAGUAGCGCCGAACAGGAUGAGUCGGCUGGGCUGAACGUCGGCUGGCGCUGAGACAGGUUUUACGGCGGCAGCAGCAGCGGCAGCGCCUGGAGCUCGGGUGCAGAAGCUCUGGUGCGGCAGCAGCAGCGGCAUCAGCAGCGUGUGGGGCAAAAGACAGCAGCUGCUCAGACCAGAACCGGAGUCGUGCUGCGCGCGGCGAGCCGUGGCGACCAGCGCUUUAUACUGUUGUAAGCGCAGCUUCCUGGCGCAGCUGCCUCGACGGUGUGGUGCCGCGGUGCCGCUGUCGUGUUUGCCGUCUCGAGCAGCUGCCAGGGGCAGUAACCGGGAGCGGUGGCUCGCAGCGGUGGCGACGCAGCGAUGUCGACGCAGCGAUACUAGGGAGUCGUCAUUUUAUCAGCUCAGCAUCACCGGGCAACAUCACAUGGGCAGACAGCGCUUGGCUCAGAAACGGGGCCGACGUGCGCCGUGCCAUCCGACGCGGGGCGGGGCGGGGCAACACGCGCCGUUGAUUAAUGCACCUUACUCAUACUCCACCCAUGCCGUCGCCGCCCAGCCUUCUCACUGCUGCUGCUGUUGCCCCUGUGCGCCCUCCUCGCCUCCCUCAGGACACCAAGGAGCGCAAGCUCAGCAAGGUGCAGCUGGCGAAGCGCCUGCGCACCGGCACCGCCUCGGCGUAAGCAGCAGCAUUUCGCCACAUCACCUUAAGUGUUGUGUGUAAGUCUCCUACGUGGCAGUCCCCGUCCCCUCUCCGGGCCCCUGGCUC